AUACCUUUCUCGGCCUUUUGGCUAAGAUCAAGUGUAGUAUCUGUUCUUAUCAGUUUAAUAUCUGAUAUAUGGGUCAUUGGCUCAUACGAUAUUAAAUCUAUUUUUAUAGGGAGAAAACCUACCAAGAUAGCUUGCUAUCUAGGUUUUCAAGAGUCGCCUUUGUCUUGCACUAUUGCAUAGGCAGGCUCGACCCAC